rnacentral:rRNA from 1 species
GAUUCUGGCUCAGGAUGAACGCUAGCGAUAGGCUUAACACAUGCAAGUCGAGGGGCAGCACGGUGUAGCAAUACACUGGUGGCGACCGGCGUACGGGUGCGUAACACGUAUGCAACCUACCCGCUAUUGGGGGAUAACCCGGCGAAAGUCGGACUAAUACCCCAUAUUAUUCUUACCGGGCAUCCGGUAGGUCUGAAAGAUUUAUCGAUUGCGGAUGGGCAUGCGGAUGAUUAGCUAGUAGGUGGGGUAACGGCUCACCUAGGCGACGAUCAUUAGGGGUUCUGAGAGGAAGGUCCCCCCACACUGGAACUGAGACACGGUCCAGACUCCUACGGGAGGCAGCAGUGAGGAAUAUUGGUCAAUGGGCGCUAGCCUGAACCAGCCAAGUCGCGUGAAGGAUGACAAGAUCUAUGGUUUGUAAACUUCUUUUGCAGGGGAGUAAAGUGCGACACGUGUGUUGUAUUGCAAGUACCCUGCGAAUAAGCAUCGGCUAACUCCGUGCCAGCAGCCGC